CAAAAUUCUUGAAUCAGAAUCUGAGUCAAGGGCCUAAGAAUUUACUUCUCAAGUUCCCAGAUGCAUUCUGCUACAAAUUGUCCUUGGUCCACCCUUGGAGACACCCUCAUCCUCAUCACCAUUAAUUAGGCUUGGGUCUCUUCAAUUAAAGCUGAGGGAGGCAUGAAGAGAAAAUGACUUUUGCAUGAGUUUCACAUUGCCCACAUCAUUCCCUUCAUGCCUCUUUUUGAUUAGUUCUUGGAGAUUCGGCCUCAGUGGAGAGCUUACAAGGGGUAUAAAGCAGCACCAUGGGCUACUAGAAAAUCCCAAGUAAUUGUGAUUUCCUGAUUUAUCCAGGCCAUGAUCCCUCUGCUGGACAAACCAGUUAUCCUGAAGGUACUAUAACUUGCGUGGGAAGAAGGAAAAGGAAGCGAGGAAAAUAAGACCAAGAGGCACAAAGGACCAGAUAUUAUUCUAUUUUAUCACGUGUUCCACAUUCCAGUGGAAGAAAACAAGAUCUGGGAACAAGCAGUCUGCAGUGUCUCCCCGCCCCCUCCCUGAGCCAUGCCUGGCGGUGCAGCAUGAAGGGGAGAGGCUGGGCUCAAUAAAUACUUACAUGAUGACAUCCUCAUCCCCUCCGCGGUCACAGCACCAGAUUUUGGAACUGAGGUCCAAAGAAGACGUGACUCUCUUAAGUUACACAACUAAAAAAGGAAGAAAUAUCUCCCACGUGUAAGGCACUGAGUUAGCCUCUGUAUGGAAGAUAAAGUUGUUAAAUUCCUAGGCCCACCUCAGGAGCUCCUCAUCCAAUAAGGGAAACGAGGUGUUUAUAUAAGCAGCUCCAGUACAGGACAGUACGUGCUAACCAUUAAAAAUCAGACCAAUUAUAGAAAUUUGGGAGUAGAGGGGUGGCACAUGAUAAUGGUGUCCUAGGAACCUGAAAGCUGAAGCAGGUCUAGGAAAUACAUAGUAGGAUUCUGGCAGGAAAGAUGGUACAUGCCUGAGGUUGGGAAGGGGGCUGAUCACUCCGGGCAAGAGGAAUGGCCAAAGGUGAGAGGAGGUGGGAAAGCUCUGGGCCCUCACGGAAAUCAACAAACCAUGCUUCCCGGCGGAGUGCUAAGCUGAAAUUUAGGGCAACUGCAUGAUUUACUGUUGAAGCAGGACUCUUUAGAGAGUGAGGAGGGAUGUAAUUAAUGUUUACACCAAACCACAGGCAGAAAGUGGGGUGGACCCAGGCCAGUGAGGAAGAAGAGUCGCCCACCAGGAGGUGGGCAGGGCCCAGAGGGUGAACGAUUUUCCAUCCCAGACAAGGGUUUGGACCUCAGGCUCCAAUUCACUGGGAAGCAGAUCAGAGCAGUCAUUUAGGGAAGAGCGGAAGUCAUUCUGUGAGAUGCCCACCACAUUGCACAGGGUACCAGGGGGAGGAAGGAGGGUUCCCGCUCUCCUGAGGCCUCUGGCUAAGCAGGGACACCCCAGCCUUCCACAUGUCCUGUUGGACCUACGACCACAUAUGCCCGGCACACUGCAUGGCACUUGAAAAGGGAGAGAAAAAAUGGGUGGAAUAAGACUUGUUUCCUUCCCUGGGGGCGCUACCAAUUUUGCUGAGAGAUAAGACUUUCAGGUAUUAAACAGGGAGCAGCAUGUGAUUUGCAAACUCCAGCGUCAUCAUAUUCCAAAAGGCACAGUUGAGGCAGUGAGCGCUUCUGGUGGAUAGGAGGGGAGAGGUCAGGGUGGCCUGGAUCUCAGGGAACGGAGCCAGGAGCAGGUAAUCCGAGCCCAGCGGGGAGGAUUAGACUUUGGCUGGAUGGGGAGGAGGGGAGGGCAUUCCCGGCAGAUGUAUCGGAGCUGGAACAAGCAGGUCGUGUGUAAGGGACAGAGAAGAAAUGAGCUGUGUGGGGAGAGGGCCCUGAAGGACAGGCGCUGUGGGUUGGAAGCACAGAAUUCUGCUCAGGAGAGAACCGCCAGGGAAAUUCUACUUCUCCUCUUCACUCAGGUGCAGUUCUGAGCAGAUCGGGGAAGCAGGUUACAAAGUCAGUACAGCGUAUAAUGGGUAAGGGACAGACUUAGCGGCAAGCCUGCCUGGGUUCACACGCUGCCCGUCUACCAUGUGAUAUUGGACAAGCUACUGAGUGGCUCAGGACAAUGACGGGGCCUACACCAGGGGGUGACAUGAGGAUUAUGGGAGUUAAUUCCUGUAAAGUGCUUAAAGCAGGGCCUGGCACACACGAAGCUCUAAAUUGGUAGUUCUCAGCUCUGGCUGAACCCUAGAAUCCCUUGGAGUGCUUUUAAAAAAAAUACGAGUGCCAGACGAUUUUUAGGGCAGUGAAACAAUUCUGUAUGAUACUAUAUUGGUGGAUAGAUGUCACUACGCAUUUUCCCAAACCCAUAGGUUGUACAAUGCCGAGAGUGAGCCCUGAUGUAAACCCUGGACUUCGGCUGGUAAUGACUUGUCGGUGGAGGCUCAUCAGUUGUAACAAACGUCCCAGUCUCACGGGGGACGCAGACGGUGGGAGAGUCUGCGUCGGGGACAGCGGGUAGAUAUGGAAACUGUGCUUUCGGCUCCAUUUUGCUGUGAACCUAACACUGCUCGAAAAAAUAGUCUAUUGAAAAGAGGCAAAAAUAUACCAGUGCCAGGGCCCCCUCCCAAAAAAAAUCAAUUAAGCAGCAUCUCAGGGUGAAGGGCUUUG